rnacentral:tRNA from 1 species
GGCCCGCAGGAGGGUUCCGUCGCACCCCGUCUCCGUCGGGGGGUGAUAGGCGCACCAGCCGAUCGCGCGGUGCGGCCCGCCCGGGCGGC